GCCCUGCUAGCUCAAUCGGUAGAGCGUGAGACUUUUACGAACCUCCUUGCAGGCUGGGGUCACGUGACCUCGGAAGUCGGGAUCUCAAGGCUGCGGGUUCGAACCCCGCGUGGGGCU
rnacentral:tRNA from 1 species